CCCCCCGGGCAAUGGGCAAAGAGACACCUAUGGCAGUGGUGUUCUUAUAUCAGUCAGGGGCAGAGUGGAUGGCAGUUAUUCAUCCUAGAUUAAUGCCUGGUUUGAUGGCCAAAGCUGUUUCAUGCCUAGGGCACAUAA